rnacentral:rRNA from 1 species
AGCAGCCGCGGUAAUUCCAGCUCCAAUAGCGUAUAUUAAAGUUGUUGCAGUUAAAAAGCUCGUAGUUGAAUUUCGGGAUCAAUAUAUCGGUCGUGCCUUGGUACGUACUGGUAUCAUUGGUUUCUCCUUUCUGACGAACCAUGAUGUCAUUAAUUUGGUGUUAUGGGAAGUUAGGACUGUUACUUUGAAAAAAUUAGAGUGUUUAAAGCAGGCUUUAGCUUGAAUACAUUAGCAUGGAAUAAUGAAAUAGGACGUUCGAACCUAUUUUGUGGUUUCUAGGAUCAACGUAAUGAUUAAUAGGGAUAGUUGGGGGCAUUAGUAUUCAAUUGUCAGAGGUGAAAUUCUUGGAUUUAU